UACGUAGGUCCCGAGCGUUGUCCGGAUUUAUUGGGCGUAAAGCGAGCGCAGGUGGUUUAUUAAGUCUGGUGUAAAAGGCAGUGGCUCAACCAUUGUAUGCAUUGGAAACUGGUAGACUUGAGUGCAGGAGAGGAGAGUGGAAUUCCAUGUGUAGCGGUGAAAUGCGUAGAUAUAUGGAGGAACACUGGUGGCGAAAGUGGCUCUCUGGCCUGUAACUGACACUGAGGCUCGAAAGCGUGGGGAGCAAACAGG
rnacentral:rRNA from 1 species